UAGGGAAUCUUCCACAAUGGACGCAAGUCUGAUGGAGCAACGCCGCGUGAGUGAAGAAGGUUUUCGGACCGUAAAGCUCUGUUGUUGGUGAAGAAGGAUAGAGGUAGUAACUGGCCUUUAUUUGACGGUAAUCAACCAGAAAGUCACGGCUAACUACGUGCCAGCAGCCGCGGUAAUACGUAGGUGGCAAGCGUUGUCCGGAUUUAUUGGGCGUAAAGCGAGCGCAGGCGGAAGAAUAAGUCUGAUGUGAAAGCCCUCGGCUUAACCGAGGAAUUGCAUCGGAAACUGUUUUCUGAGUGCAGAAGAGGAGAGUAGAACUCCAUGUGUAGCGGUGGAAUGCGUAGAUAUAUGGAAGAAUACCAGUGGCGAAGGCGGCUCUCUGGUCUGCAACUGACGCUGAGGCUCGAAAGCAUGGGUAGCGAACAGGAUUAGAUACCCUGGUAGUCCACGCCGUAAACGAUGAGUGCUAGGUGUUGGAUCCUUUUCCGGGAUUCAG
rnacentral:rRNA from 1 species